UGUAAGUGCAGCGAUGCAUUGAGCUAACCAGUACUAAUGAUCCGUGAGGCUUAACCUUACAACACCAAAGGUGUUUUG
rnacentral:rRNA from 1 species